rnacentral:rRNA from 1 species
AUUGAACGCUGGCGGCAGGCCUAACACAUGCAAGUCGAGCGGAGGAAGGGAGCUUGCUCCUGGAUUCAGCGGCGGACGGGUGAGUAAUGCCUAGGAAUCUGCCUGGUAGUGGGGGAUAACGUCCGGAAACGGGCGCUAAUACCGCAUACGUCCUGAGGGAGAAAGUGGGGGAUCUUCGGACCUCACGCUAUCAGAUGAGCCUAGGUCGGAUUAGCUAGUUGGUGGGGUAAAGGCCUACCAAAGCGACGAUCCGUAACUGGUCUGAGAGGAUGAUCAGUCACACUGGAACUGAGACACGGUCCAGACUCCUACGGGAGGCAGCAGUGGGGAAUAUUGGACAAUGGGCGAAAGCCUGAUCCAGCCAUGCCGCGUGUGUGAAGAAGGUCUUCGGAUUGUAAAGCACCUUAAGUUGGGAGGAAGGGCAGUAAGUUAAUACCUUGCUGUUUUGACGUUACCAACAGAAUAAGCACCGGCUAACUUCGUG